AUUAAAGGAACAAAAAUAAGCACAACUGUGCCUUACACCACUCUGGAGAGCUCAAUCUAUGGCACAUUUGUGAAAGCUUACAUAAAGGCUGCAAAUGGCAUGAAUAUGACAAGGGUUGCUCCUUUGGCCCCUUUCGGCCUUUGCUUUAGUUCAAAAGGUAUUGGUGUCACAGAAUUGGGUGCAAAGGUUCCUGCAAUUGAGCUAGUGCUGCAGAGUGAGAUGGUAAAGUGGAGGAUACAUGGGAGGAAUUCUAUGGUGGUUGUGAGUGAAGAGAUGAUGUGUUUGGGGUUGUUGGAUGGUGGGCUGGACUCAAAAACCUCAAUUGUAAUAGGAGGGUUUCAAUUAGAGGAUACCUUUUUAGAUUUUGAUUUGGCAACUUUAAUGUUAGGAUUCAGUUUGCCUCUUCGGAUGAGACAAACUUCUUGUUCUGACUUGCUGCUGGAAUCCGCCACGCUUAAGGACUCUCUGUGAACGGGUG
rnacentral:misc_RNA from 1 species